AUGAACGCUAGCUACAGGCUUAACACAUGCAAGUCGAGGGGCAGCAUGAACUUAGCUUGCUAAGUUUGAUGGCGACCGGCGCACGGGUGAGUAACACGUAUCCAACCUGCCGAUGACUCGGGGAUAGCCUUUCGAAAGAAAGAUUAAUACCCGAUGGCAUAGUUCUUCCGCAUGGUAGAACUAUUAAAGAAUUUCGGUCAUCGAUGGGGAUGCGUUCCAUUAGGUUGUUGGCGGGGUAACGGCCCACCAAGCCUUCGAUGGAUAGGGGUUCUGAGAGGAAGGUCCCCCACAUUGGAACUGAGACACGGUCCAAACUCCUACGGGAGGCAGCAGUGAGGAAUAUUGGUCAAUGGACGAGAGUCUGAACCAGCCAAGUAGCGUGAAGGAUGACUGCCCUAUGGGUUGUAAACUUCUUUUAUACGGGAAUAAAGUGAGGCACGUGUGCCUUUUUGUAUGUACCGUAUGAAUAAGGAUCGGCUAACUCCGUGCCAGCAGCCGCGGUAAUACGGAGGAUCCGAGCGUUAUCCGGAUUUAUUGGGUUUAAAGGGAGCGUAGGCGGACGCUUAAGUCAGUUGUGAAAGUUUGCGGCUCAACCGUAAAAUUGCAGUUGAUACUGGGUGUCUUGAGUACAGUAGAGGCAGGCGGAAUUCGUGGUGUAGCGGUGAAAUGCUUAGAUAUCACGAAGAACUCCGAUUGCGAAGGCAGCCUGCUGGACUGUAACUGACGCUGAUGCUCGAAAGUGUGGGUAUCAAACAGGAUUAGAUACCCUGGUAGUCCACGCCGUAAACGAUGAAUACUAGGUGUCGGGUGGCAGAGCCAUUCGGUGCCGCAGCAAACGCAGUAAGUAUUCCACCUGGGGAGUACGCCGGCAACGGUGAAACUCAAAGGAAUUGACGGGGGCCCGCACAAGCGGAGGAACAUGUGGUUUAAUUCGAUGAUACGCGAGGAACCUUACCCGGGCUUGAAUUGCAACUGAAUGAUGUGGAGACAUGUCAGCCGCAAGGCAGUUGUGAAGGUGCUGCAUGGUUGUCGUCAGCUCGUGCCGUGAGGUGUCGGCUUAAGUGCCAUAACGAGCGCAACCCUUAUCGAUAGUUACCAUCAGGUUAUGCUGGGGACUCUGUCGAGACUGCCGUCGUAAGAUGUGAGGAAGGUGGGGAUGACGUCAAAUCAGCACGGCCCUUACGUCCGGGGCUACACACGUGUUACAAUGGGGGGUACAGAAGGCAGCUACACGGCGACGUGAUGCUAAUCCCUAAAGCCUCUCUCAGUUCGGAUUGGAGUCUGCAACCCGACUCCAUGAAGCUGGAUUCGCUAGUAAUCGCGCAUCAGCCACGGCGCGGUGAAUACGUUCCCGGGCCUUGUACACACCGCCCGUCAAGCCAUGAAAGCCGGGGGUACCUGAAGUGCGUAACCGCAAGGAGCGCCCUAGGGUAAAACUGGUGAUUGGGGCU
rnacentral:rRNA from 1 species